CGUAGGUCAGCAUACUACGGUGAAUACGUUCCCGGGCCUUGUACACACCGCCCGUCAAACCAUGAGAGUUGGCAACACCCGAAGUCGGUAGUCUAACCGCAAGGAGGACGCCGCCGAAGGUGGGGUCGAUGAUUAGGGUUAAGUCGUAACAAGGUAGC
rnacentral:rRNA from 1 species